rnacentral:rRNA from 1 species
CACGUAGGGCGCAAGCGUUGUCCGGAAUUAUUGGGCGUAAAGAGCUCGUAGGCGGCCUGUUGCGUCCGCUGUGAAAUCCCCGGGCUCAACCUGGGAAUGGCAUUCGGGACUGCAAGGCUGGAGUGCGGCAGAGGAGACUGGAAUUCCUGGUGUAGCAGUGAAAUGCGUAGAUAUCAGGAGGAAUACCGAUGCGAAGGCAGGUCUCUGGGCUGACACUGACGCUCAUGCACGAAAGCGUGGGGAGCAAACAGG